rnacentral:rRNA from 1 species
AACAGGGAUUGCCUCAGUAACGGCGAGUGAAGCGGCAACAGCUCAAAUUUGAAAUCUGGCCCCUCCGGGCCCGAGUUGUAAUUUGCAGAGGACGCUUCGGGUGCGGCGCCAGUAUAAGUUCCUUGGAACAGGACGUCAUAGAGGGUGAGAAUCCCGUAUGUGACUGNAUGCCCAGCUCAUGUGAAGCCCGUUCGACGAGUCGAGUUGUUUGGGAAUGCAGCUCUAAAUGGGUGGUAAAUUUCAUCUAAAGCUAAAUACCGGCCAGAGACCGAUAGCGCACAAGUAGAGUGAUCGAAAGAUGAAAAGCACUUUGGAAAGAGAGUUAAAAAGCACGUGAAAUUGUUGAAAGGGAAGCGCUUGCAAUCAGACUUGCCCGCAGUCGUUCAGCCGGUGUUCUCACCGGUGUACGCUUCUGCGGUCAGGCCAGCAUCAGCCUGGGCGGUCGGAUAAAGGCCUYGAGAAUGUAGCUUCCCUCGGGGAGUGUUAUAGCUCUCGGUGCAAUGCAGCCUGCCUGGACUGAGGACCGCGCUUCGGCUAGGAUGCUGGCGUAAUGGUUGUAAGCGACCCGUCUUGAAACACGGACCAAGGAGUCUAACAUCUAUGCAAGUGUUUGGGUGUCAAACCCAUGCGCGUAAUGAAAGUGAACGGAGGUGGGAACCCUCAAGGGUGCACCAUCGACCGAUCCUGAUGUCUUCGGAUGGAUUUGAGUAAGAGCAUAACUGUUGGGACCCGAAAGAAGGUGAACUAUGCCUGAAUAGGGUGAAGCCAGAGGAAACUCUGGUGGAGGCUCGCAGCGGUUCUGACGUGCAAAUCGAUCGUCAAAUUUGGGUAUAGGGGCGAAAGAC